ensembl:snoRNA
GCAUGACUGAAUACUGUGUUCUUUUUAUCAGUAGCAUACACAGCCAGACACCACGCAAAAGCAAAGUCUUCCCUUUGAAAGGGCUAUGAUGGUAUGCCAAGUUUCUUCACAGAAUAUCAUUUUUAAAAGUAGAUACAAAC